rnacentral:snRNA from 1 species
GGAUGUGAGGGCGAUCUGACUGUGACAUCUGUCACCCCAUUGAUCGCCAGGGUUGAUUUGGCUGCUCUGGCAGGCUAGGCGGGUGUCCCCUUCCUCCCUCACCGCUCCAUGUGCGUCCCUCCCAAAGCCGCGCGCUCGGUCGAAGAGGACGGCCUUCCCCGAAUAGAGACGGACCGGUUCUCGGUCGAGGGUAUACGAGUAGCUGCGCUCCCCUGCUAGAACCUCCAAACAAGUGAUUGUCUUGAAUCUUUUACUCUGACCUUUGUUUACCAUUCCAGCAGAAUAAAAGCAAAAAUUUUAGUAUUGUACUCAGGUUCUGUGCUGGUACUU